rnacentral:rRNA from 1 species
AUUGAACGCUGGCGGCAGGCCUAACACAUGCAAGUCGAACGAGUGGCGGACGGGUGAGUAAUGUCUGGGAACUGCCCGAUGGAGGGGGAUAACUAUUGGAAACGAUAGCUAAUACCGCAUACUGUGAGAUGGACCUUCGUUGUAUUAGCUAGUUGGUGAGGUAAAGGCUCACCAAGGCGACGAUACAUAGCCGACCUGAGAGGAUGAUCGGCCAGACUGGGCCUUAGACACGGCCCAGACUCCUACAGGAGGCAGCAGUAGGGAAUAGUCGGGAAUGGACGGAAGACUGACCGAGCAACGCCGCGUGAGUGAAGAAGGUUUUCGGAUCGUAAAGCUCUGUUGUCAGAGAAGCGUUAACUAACCAGAAAGGAACGGCUAACUACGUGCCAGCAGCCGCGGUAAUAC